AUACGUAGGGGGCGAGCGUUGUCCGGAAUGAUUGGGCGUAAAGGGCGCGUAGGCGGCCUGUUAAGUCUGGAGUGAAAGUCCUGUUUUCAGGAUGGGAAUUGCUUUGGAUACUGAUGGGCUUGAGUGCAGGAGAGGUUAUCGGAAUUCCCGGUGUAGCGGUGAAAUGCGUGGAGAUCGGGAGGAACACCAGUGGCGAAGGCGGCAAACUGGACGGUAACUGACGCUGAGACGCGAAAGUGUGGGUAGCAAACAGGAUUAUAUACCCUGGUAGUCCACGCCGUAAACGAUGAGAACUAGGUGUCGUGUGAGUUGACCCCCGCGGUGCCGAAGCUAACGCAUUAAGUUCUCCGCCUGGGAAGUACGGUCGCAAGACUAAAACUCAAAUGAAUUGACGGGG
rnacentral:rRNA from 1 species